UACGUAGGGCGCAAGCGUUGUCCGGAAUUAUUGGGCGUAAAGAGCUCGUAGGCGGCCUGUUGCGUCCGCUGUGAAAACCCGGGGCUUAACCCCGGGCUUGCAGUGGAUACGGGCAGGCUGGAGGCAGGCAGGGGAGAACGGAAUUCCCGGUGUAGCGGUGAAAUGCGCAGAUAUCGGGAGGAACACCGGUGGCGAAGGCGGUUCUCUGGGCCUGACCUGACGCUGAGGAGCGAAAGCGUGGGGAGCGAACAGG
rnacentral:rRNA from 1 species